rnacentral:rRNA from 1 species
ACGAGAUCGUUCAGAGUUUGAUCCUGGCUCAGGACGAACGCUGGCGGCACGCUUAACACAUGCAAGUCGAACGGUGAAGAGAAGCUUGCUUCUCGGAUCAGUGGCGGACGGGUGAGUAACACGUGAGCAACCUGCCUUUAAGAGGGGGAUAACGUUCGGAAACGAACGCUAAUACCGCAUAACAUAUGGGAUUCGCAUGUUUUCCAUAUCAAAGAUUUAUCGCUUAAAGAUGGGCUCGCGUCUGAUUAGCUAGUUGGUGAGGUAACGGCUCACCAAGGCGACGAUCAGUAGCCGGACUGAGAGGUUGAACGGCCACAUUAGGACUGAGACACGGCCCAG